UACGUAGGGGGCAAGCGUUGUCCGGAUUUAUUGGGCGUAAAGAGCGUGUAGGCGGCUUCACAGGUCCGCUGUGAAAACUCGAGGCUCAACCUCGAGCUGUCGGUGGAAACCGUGUGGCUAGAGUCCGGAAGAGGAGAGUGGAAUUCCCGGUGUAGCGGUGAAAUGCGCAGAUAUCGGGAGGAACACCAAUGGCGAAGGCAGCUCGCUGGGACGUGACUGACGCUGAGACGCGAAAGCGUGGGGAGCGAACAGG
rnacentral:rRNA from 1 species